CACCGCGGUUAUACGAGAGGCCCUAGUUGAUAGAUACGGCGUAAAGAGUGGUUAUGGGUAAAACCUAAAUAAAGUCAAACAACCUCUGGGCCGUUAUACGCGCACGAGAACAUGAAGCCCCCUCACGAAAGUAACUUUAAUACUACCUGACCCCACGAAAGCUAAGAAA
rnacentral:rRNA from 1 species